UAGGGAAUCUUCCGCAAUGGACGCAAGUCUGACGGAGCAACGCCGCGUGAGUGAAGAAUGAUUUCGGUUCGUAAAACUCUGUUGUUAGAGAAGAACAGCGCAUAGAGUAACUGUUAUGCGUGUGACGGUAUCUAACCAGAAAGCCACGGCUAACUACGUGCCAGCAGCCGCGGUAAUACGUAGGUGGCAAGCGUUGUCCGGAUUUAUUGGGCGUAAAGCGAGCGCAGGCGGUCAAUUAAGUCUGAUGUGAAAGCCCCCGGCUCAACCGGGGAGGGUCAUUGGAAACUGGUUGACUUGAGUGCAGAAGAGGAGAGUGGAAUUCCAUGUGUAGCGGUGAAAUGCGUAGAUAUAUGGAGGAACACCAGUGGCGAAGGCGACUCUCUGGUCUGUAACUGACGCUGAGGCUCGAAAGCGUGGGUAGCAAACAGG
rnacentral:rRNA from 1 species